rnacentral:rRNA from 1 species
ACUCAAAGGAAUUGACGGGGGCCCGCACAAGCGGUGGAGCAUGUGGUUCAAUUCGACGCAACGCGAAGAACCUUACCUGGGCUCGAAGCGCAGUGGAAUCCAGAUAAAAGUCUGGCGUCCCGCAAGGGACUGCUGCGUAGGUGCUGCAUGGCUGUCGUCAGCUCGUGUCGUGAGAUGUUGGGUUAAGUCCCGCAACGAGCGCAACCCUUAUCCUUAGUUGCCAGGCCGCAAGGCGGUACUCUAAGGAAACUGUCGGUCAAAAGCCGAAGGAAGGUGGGGAUGACGUCAAGUCCUCAUGGCCUUUAUGUCCAGGGCUACACACGUGCUACAAUGGACGGUACAAAGCGUCGCAAACCCGCGAGGGGGAGCCAAUCGCAAAAAGCCGUUCUCAGUUCGGAUUGCAGUCUGCAACUCGACUGCAUGAAGCUGGAAUCGCUAGUAAUCGCGGAUCAGAACGCCGCGGUGAAUACGUUCCCGGGCCUUGCACACACCGCCCGU